ACUGCAGGUGUGGCAGCUGUGUGCCAGCGGGGGGGGGGAAGGGCAGGGGCAGGGAGAAGAGGUCCUGUGUGCCUCAGUGUCCUGCCCUGUGAACACCUGAAUGAUCAGUAGCUUGACACU
rnacentral:snoRNA from 1 species